UACAGAGGUCCCAAGCGUUGUUCGGAUUCACUGGGCGCAAAGGGUGCGUAGGUGGUGAGGUAAGUCGGAUGUGAAAUCUCCAAGCUCAACUUGGAAACUGCAUUGGAAACUACCUUGCUAGAGGAUUUGAGGGGGGAUUGGAAUACUUGGUGUAGCAGUGAAAUGCGUAGAUAUCAAGUGGAACACCAGUGGCGAAGGCGAAUCCCUGGAAAAUACCUGACACUGAGGCACGAAAGCUAGGGGAGCAAACAGG
rnacentral:rRNA from 1 species